UAUUAGUUGCACCUGUUCCUUUUUGUGUUUCUUGAUUUGUGUCUCUUUAAGUCUGUUAGGCUCGUUUAGGUUUGUGUCUCUUUAAGUCUGUUAGGACGCUUAGGUUUGUGUCUAUUUAAGUCUGUUAGGCCCGUUUAGGUUUGUGUCUAUUUAAGUCUGUUAGGACGCUUAGGUUUGUGUCUAUUUAAGUCUGUUAGGCCUGCUUAGGUUUGUGUCUAUUUAAGUCUGUUAGGACGCUUAGGUUUGUGUCUAUUUAAGUCUGUUAGGCCCGCUUAGGUUUGUGUCUAUUUAAGUCUGUUAGGCCCGCUUAGGUUUGUGUCUAUUUAAGUCUGUUAGGACGCUUAGGUUUGUGUCUAUUUAAGUCUGUUAGGCCCGCUUAGGUUUGUGUCUAUUUAAGCCUGUUAGGACGCUUAGGUUUGUGUCUAUUUAAGCCUGUU
ensembl:lncRNA